GAUCAACGCUGGCGGCGUGCUUAACACAUGCAAGUCGAACGAAGUUUUUCCUUCGGGAGCAACUUAGUGGCGGACGGGUGAGUAACGCGUGGGUAACCUGCCCUGUACAGGGGGACAACAGCUGUAAACGGCUGCUAAUACCGCAUAAGCCCUUAGCACUGCAUGGUGCAUAGGGAAAAGGAGCAAUCCGGUACAGGAUGGACCCGCGUCUGAUUAGCCAGUUGGCAGGGUAACGGCCUACCAAAGCGACGAUCAGUAGCCGAUCUGAGAGGAUGUACGGCCACAUUGGGACUGAGACACGGCCCAGACUCCUACGGGAAGCAGCAGUGGGGAAUAUUGCACAAUGGAGGAAACUCUGAUGCAGCGACGCCGCGUGAGUGAAGAAGUAUUUCGGUAUGUAAAGCUCUAUCAGCAGGGAAGAAAAUGACGGUACCUGACUAAGAAGCACCGGCUAAAUACGUG
rnacentral:rRNA from 1 species